UAGAUUCAGUCAAGUGCUUCAGCUGUAAA
rnacentral:sRNA from 1 species